rnacentral:rRNA from 2 species
UACAGAGGGUGCAAGCGUUAAUCGGAAUUACUGGGCGUAAAGCGCGCGUAGGUGGUUAUUUAAGUCAGAUGUGAAAGCCCCGGGCUUAACCUGGGAACUGCAUCUGAUACUGGAUAACUAGAGUAGGUGAGAGGGGAGUAGAAUUCCAGGUGUAGCGGUGAAAUGCGUAGAGAUCUGGAGGAAUACCGAUGGCGAAGGCAGCUCCCUGGCAUCAUACUGACACUGAGGUGCGAAAGCGUGGGUAGCAAAC